GUGUCAGCAGCCGCGGUAAUACGUAGGGUGCGAGCGUUAAUCGGAAUUACUGGGCGUAAAGAGUGCGUAGGCGGUCCCGCAAGUCCGCUGUGAAAGCCCCGGGCUUAACCUGGGAAUGGCAGUGGAAACUAUGGGACUUGAAUCUGGCAGAGGGGGGUGGAAUGCCACGUGUAGCAGUGAAAUGCGUAGAGAUGUGGCGGAACACCGAUGGCGAAGGCAGCCCCCUGGGCUGAGAUUGACGCUCAGGCACGAAAGCGUGGGGAGCAAACAGGAUUAGAUACCCUGGUAGUCC
rnacentral:rRNA from 1 species